rnacentral:rRNA from 1 species
CAGUAGCCGCGGGAACACGUAGGGUGCAAGCGUUAAUCGGAAUUACUGGGCGUAAAGCGUGCGCAGGCGGUUAUAUAAGACAGAUGUGAAAUCCCCGGGCUCAACCUGGGAACUGCAUUUGUGACUGUAUAGCUAGAGUACGGCAGAGGGGGAUGGAAUUCCGCGUGUAGCAGUGAAAUGCGUAGAUAUGCGGAGGAACACCGAUGGCGAAGGCAAUCCCCUGGGCCUGUACUGACGCUCAUGCACGAAAGCGUGGGGAGCAAACAGGAUUAGACCCCCGUAGUCCCUGUCUCUUAUACAC